rnacentral:rRNA from 1 species
UGCGUAGGUGGCAAGCGUUAUCCGGAUUUAUUGGGUGUAAAGGGCGUGUAGGCGGGAAAGCAAGUCAGAUGUGAAAACUCAGGGCUCAACCCUGAGCCUGCAUUUGAAACUGUUUUUCUUGAGUGCUGGAGAGGCAAUCGGAAUUCCGUGUGUAGCGGUGAAAUGCGUAGAUAUACGGAGGAACACCAGUGGCGAAGGCGGAUUGCUGGACAGUAACUGACGCUGAGGCGCGAAAGCGUGGGGAGCAAACAGG